UGCUGUGAAAUGGUAAAGUUUACUUUCUUACUGUUUUUCACAUUUGUCAUGUUUAUUCUAUUAGUUGAUAAAGAGAGCAAAACAACUGCUUAUAAUAUUUAUUUACUGCUGUUUAUUUAUUGUUUAAUAAAAAUGUGUAUUAGAUUUUAAAUAAAAGAUAAUGCAAUUAUUUUUCAUUUGUUUAUUUUCAAAAAGUAGAAAAUAACUGACAACAAGAAGUAACAAAAGUGUAUAAACCUAAAUGUUUGGUGUUUACUGUCAGUAUCCUUCAGCUGAUUCAAGUUACGCGUUCGUUUCCCGUUGCAUCAUGGGAAAUAUGAGUGAACGAGUGUACAUCGAAUGUACCCUCAAAAUCAGAGUGCAUUGUGGGUAAAAAGUAGUGAAUUAAUGUAGGGAAUGAAUGAAGUUAUUCACUCAGGUUGCGGACACCACUAAAAAAUGGCCGACACCCGAUAUAGUGCACUAUAUAGUGGAUAGGGAGCGGUUUCAGACACAGCUAAUGACAAGUUUAUCUAGCUAGCUGCUUGCUAAAAACACCUGUCGGCCGAAUUCGAAGCAAUUAACAGUGUCGUCGAACGCGCGCCUGCGCAGUGAGACGGGUUUUAGUACAUCAUUGGGCCUGCGCAAACGCCAUGCGUAGCUAUCGAAAAGAUACAAUUGUUUCUCUGAACACUUGUUUUUCUUUAUAUUAUUCAGCUAACGCUACGCGGCCAUCAAGAGCAUGCAGGACAAAAUCAACUCUUCAAGUGAAAGACUGGGAAAAAACACGUCAUGAACCGGAUGAAAAGGGAUUAUCACUUCAUCAGUUGGCAUUGUGGCAUAACGAUUUAGUAAAGACUUCUUGAAUGACCUCAGUAAUCCACUUCAUGCAGCCAAUGUCAAGAAAGCCGCCUCUGAUUUUCCUGCGUAAUCUGUUUGGUCAGACCAGUGCAUCUCGUGCAAUUAUGAGAUGUAAUUUGCUUGCAUUCUCUGAAGCCAGACAGUAAUUACCUGAAGGAUGCUUGAUGUCUUUCACACUUGACUGACCUGUUUAAAGGAGAGACGCAGAGACCUGAAUUCAAAAAGCAAUGCUGUUCCAAUUACAGACCUACUAACAGAAUGACAGAAGCUCUCCUUAACAAACAGCAGUGAAAAGCAUUGAUCCAUCAGAUGAGCAACAUGCUGUGCUCCUAGUUUCUUUGUGCACCCUGAUAGAAAGUUCAUUGUCCUGAAAAUAAAGUUGUUAAGAUCGUUUGAUAGCAAAGG